rnacentral:rRNA from 1 species
GAUGAACGCUAGCGGGAGGCCUAACACAUGCAAGCCGAGCGGUAUUGUUUCUUCGGAAAUGAGAGAGCGGCGUACGGGUGCGUAACACGUGUGCAACCUGCCUUUAUCUGGGGGAUAGCCUUUCGAAAGGAAGAUUAAUACUCCAUAAUAUAUUGAACGGCAUCGUUUAAUAUUGAAAGCUCCGGCGGAUAGAGAUGGGCACGCGCAAGAUUAGCUAGUUGGUGAGGUAACGGCUCACCAAGGCGAUGAUCUUUAGGGGGCCUGAGAGGGUGACCCCCCACAGUGGUACUGGGCACAGGACCAACCCCCGAGGGGGGGCACCGGUAGGGGAUAUUGGAGGUGGGGUGAAGGCAUAACCCGCCCACCCCUGGUGAAGAACCCCCGCCUUUGGGUUUAUAACCUUUUUUUGGAAAGGAAAAACCCCACCUGAGGGAGGGUGCCUGAGGUUAAUAUCUAAAAAAGCCCCGGCUAACUCCGUG